rnacentral:rRNA from 1 species
CCUACGGGUGGCAGCAGUGAGGAAUAUUGGUCAAUGGACGCGAGUCUGAACCAGCCAAGUAGCGUGAAGGAUGACUGCCCUAUGGGUUGUAAACUUCUUUUAUAUGGGAAUAAAAUGUUCCACGUGUGGGAUUUUGUAUGUACCAUAUGAAUAAGGAUCGGCUAACUCCGUGCCAGCAGCCGCGGUAAUACGGAGGAUCCGAGCGUUAUCCGGAUUUAUUGGGUUUUAAGGGAGCGUAGGUGGAUUGUUAAGUCAGUUGUGAAAGUUUGCGGCUCAACCGUAAAAUUGCAGUUGAAACUGGCAGUCUUGAGUACAGUAGAGGUGGGCGGAAUUCGUGGUGUAGCGGUGAAAUGCUUAGAUAUCACGAAGAACUCCGAUUGCGAAGGCAGUUCACUGGACUGCAACUGACACUGAGGCUCGAAAGUGUGGGUAUCAAACAGGAUUAGAUACCCCAGUAGUC